AGUGGAAGCGUCUGGAAAGGCGCGCGAUACAGGGUGACAGCCCCGUACACAAAAGCGCAUGUGCUGUGAGCUCGAUGAGUAGGGCGGGACACGUGGUAUCCUGUCUGAAUAUGGGGGGACCAUCCUCCAAGGCUAAAUACUCCUGACUGACCGAUAGUGAACCAGUACCGUGAGGGAAAGGCGAAAAGAACCCCGGCGAGGGGAGUGAAAAAGAACCUGAAACCGUGUACGUACAAGCAGUGGGAGCACCCUUCGGGGUGUGACUGCGUACCUUUUGUAUAAUGGGUCAGCGACUUAUAUUCUGUAGCAAGGUUAACCGUAUAGGGGAGCCG
rnacentral:rRNA from 1 species